rnacentral:rRNA from 1 species
GAUGAACGCUAGCGGCAGGCCUAACACAUGCAAGUCGAGGGGCAGCACGUCUUCGGAUGGUGGCGACCGGCGCACGGGUGCGUAACGCGUAUGCAACCUACCUCUUACAGUGGGAUAGCCCAGAGAAAUUUGGAUUAAUACCGCAUAGUAUACAGAUUCAGCAUUGGGACUGUAUUAAACAUUUAUGGGUAAGAGAUGGGCAUGCGUUCUAUUAGUUAGUUGGAGUGGUAACGGCACCCCAAGACAGCGAUAGAUAGGGGCCCUGAGAGGGGGAUCCCCCACACUGGUACUGAGACACGGACCAGACUCCUACGGGAGGCAGCAGUGAGGAAUAUUGGACAAUGGCGAGAGCUGAUCCAGCCAUGCCGCGUGCAGGAAGACGGCCCUUAUGGGUUGUAAACUGCUUUUGUA